rnacentral:lncRNA from 12 species
GCCCCGGGCAUGCUGGCUUCGGUAGCAGGUUUCUCAGCCAGCCCGGCGCCCGGGCCAGGCCUCCGUGGGGUACAAGGCACAGCCUGGGCGGUGCCGGAGCCGGGACCGGAGCCCUGUGUCUGGGGCGGCAAAGCCUGGGCGGCCGGCGGCCCUGCGCACACCCACUCGGCGGCCAGGCCCCUUUCCUGAACACGGGCCACGUCUGUGACGACAGUGACGGAGAAUCCCGGGGCAGCGGCCACCUGGGCACGCAUGCUGGGGGGAACAGGGCGGCCUCGGAGUGGAUGGGCCUCCUUCAGCCCCAGCUGGCACCCUUGGGACCACAGCGUCCGCACGGGGAUGCCCCACGGUGGGCCCCCGGCCGGGACUUCAUGAAGGCAAUGCGUGAGGUCCGCAGAGCCCCUGGUCUGAGAGGCUGGAGCCCAAGGCUCCGGGGUGAGGGCGCCCAGCCGAGGGCGGGGGUGUCCACCCGAGGACCUCUCUGGCCUUCCCUGCUGCUCGGGGCUCCCACUGUCCCUCCCCGGGCCGGUGACCGCAGCAGUCCGUGGGCAAGGACCUUGCCAAGAGGAAAGAGGCCUUCAGCCCAGUUCCCGGCCAGACUUGGCCGCGAGGCUCCAGCCCUGGCCGGGGCCCAGGCCGCCUCUGCUCACGCUCUGUCUGGGGCUGGCUACUGGUUGGCGGGAGGGGCUGGGGAGGCGGCAGCCAGGUCUGCCCAGGCCCCUGCUGGCCAGGCACGUUGCCAUGUCCAGACUCCUUGGAGGUGGAGCCGGCAGCCGCCUGAUGGGAAACUCUGCGGCCUCCUCUUUCAUGGGCAGCUUUCUCACCGGCAGCCUGGGCUCGGCGGCCCCCGAGCACCCCAGCGGGCCCGCCCCGGGCCCCUCGGAGCAGGCCUACCGCAGCUCCCACCCUGCCACCUCCCAGAUCUGGUUCUCUCACUCCCAUGAAGGUAAGUCCAGGGUCGGGGGGGAGCAGAGGGGGCCUCCCCUGCUGUGGCCUGCCCAGGAAGUCCCCCACGGAGGAAGGUGGUGAUUGGUUGGAAACGGAGGGCGGGCCCCGCCAGGCAGUGGCCCCAGCCAGAUGUGCACGCCCAUGGGCAGAUAGGGAUAGGAGGAGGAGGUGCCCAGAGGGUUCUGGGGGGGCCAGGGAAAUGUGGAGCCCAGCUGGGCGGGCGGGGGCCGGGCUGCACCCUCUGCCUGGGGCUGCACCCACCUCCCCAGACUCGGAGAGGUGUGGGUUCCAGAUGUGCCCGCUGGGAGGGAGGGGCGGGGAGGGCAGAGCUGUCAACAGGCUCCCGCUGCCACCUCGGGGGCCUGGCCUCCCUGUGGAAUGGAGUCCUGUGCGCACAGGGCGCGCGGCCAGCAGGGAGGCCCCUGGGGGCCCCUUGGGGACUCUGGGGCUCCCCGCAGCUCCCAGCGCCCUGUUGUCUGUCCAGCCCCGCGGUGCUGUGACGUGGGUGGCAGCUCACGCCCGAGGUCACUGGGAUCCAUGCGGCUUGGGAAGGGUUAAGCCCGGCGGCGCUGGCUGGCACGCGGAGAGGUAAUUGCACUUGGCAGCGGGCACAGAGGGCUCUCCGCUCCUGGCACCAGCGCCGCCGUAACUCAGUGACUGCUGGGCGGCAAGCACCGCGUUUGCAGAGCGAGCACCCACACACUGCGCCCGCCGCCCGCGUUCCAGGCAGGGAGAUUAGCGCCCGGCGCUACCGGAGAGCCAGAGAAACCUCUUUGUGCAACAAGAAAGGGGCUGUUUUCCAAACAGGACAGGUGACAAGUGAGGGACAGUUGUUAAAAUAAUCUGGGCUUUAAGCGCUGUGCAGAGUGCACAUGUUGGGCAGGCGAUAAGGAGCAGCUCUCUUUCCUGGUGGCGGGGCAGCCAGGCGGGCAGAGCGGGGUCCCCGUCCCAGACUCGCCCUCGCGGCCGGCCCCCUGCCCUCUGCACUCUGAGGGC